CUGUCUGGCUGGUGGCUCAGAGGCAAGAGGAAGAGUCAGUGUGGAAGUGAAAAGGUUGAAGAUCAUAAGACACUUAGAGCAAGUAGAGGUCGAGGAGGAUGGAACUGCAGUGUUCAGCUGUGAACUGAAUCAUGAGUCACCCAGUGUCCAGUGGCUGCUCAAUGACCGAGUCCUAUACACCAACUACAUCAACAAAAUCCAGAAUUCUGGAAAAGCAUACAGUCUGAUUUUAAAACGACUAGCUCCUCAAGAGAGCCGUGUAACAUUCAAAACAUUUGAUAUCAGCGAGUCUGCGUUCCUCAGGGUCAGAGAGAAGCCAGCAGUGUUUCUCAGGUCAUUGGAGGAUGUAGCAGGUGAGGAACGUGGUGAAAUCCUUUUGCAGUGUGACGUUUCCAAACCAUCAGUGACACCUGUCUGGAGAAAAGAUGGUGAAAU